rnacentral:tRNA from 1 species
AGAGCUUUAAGUUAGUUAAAACUGUGGACCUUCAAAGCCCAAAAUAGGCUUAUAAGCCUAAGCUCUG